AUGCUCAGUUUCCCACUUUCCCCCCUCCUCCCUCCCCAAUGGGAUGGGGCGGAGCCUAGAGAGCGCCUAACUCCGCGCGCGCUCCCGGUGGCUAAAGUCCCGGGAAUUUCCCAGCGGGGAGCCCUCCAAGUGGGAUCGCCUUGCAGAGGGGUGUGUGCGCGCGCGCAGGAGAAAAGAAAACACUUGAAUGGAACUGAAGUAAAGGUUUGUGGCCCAAGACAGAAUUUGCAGAGAUCUUUCUUGUAAACAAACGA
rnacentral:lncRNA from 1 species